rnacentral:rRNA from 1 species
AUACAGAGGUUGCGAGCGUUAAUCGGAAUUACUGGGCGUAAAGCGUGCGUAGGUGGUCUGUUAAGUCAGGUGUGAAAGCCCUGGGCUCAACCUAGGAACUGCAUUUGAUACUGGCAGACUAGAGUGUGGUAGAGGGUAGUGGAAUUCCCGGUGUAGCGGUGAAAUGCGUAGAUAUCGGGAGGAACAUCAGUGGCGAAGGCGGCUACCUGGACCAACACUGACACUGAGGUACGAAAGCGUGGGGAGCAAACAGGAUUAGAAACCCCGGUAGUCC